AGAGCUGGUCUCUAAAGUAGCAAAAAGAUCUUGCUUCUUUUUCUUCUAAGGAGAUGGGUCUCACUCCCAUUAGUUUAAUACCCUUAGCACGAAAGAGCAAAGUGUCCAUCGUACUUGGGAGAGACAGCCUUGGGUCUGAAUCUGGUUUUGUUUAUUGAUAAAUAUGUGCGCUUUGGAGAGGUUUGAGUAACCUCUCUGAUCCUCAGUUUUCUCAUCUAUAAAAUGGAGAAAUGGCACUUUCUCAUGAGGUUUAUGGUGAAAGUGCCUGGUGCCCAGCUAGUAGGAAUAAGUGGGUGGUAGUUAAUAUCCAGGGAAUGAAUCAUGGUAGGCUUCAGAGCAUGAUGAGCUAACCGGCCUUUUCACACUCUGAAUACAUGCACACACAUUUUAAAAGUUCCCAGGUUAUUUUCCCGAACAAAAAGCUCAGUGUGUUGUAUGCUGGGUUACCAAGGGAAAAAUGCAGGUUUGAGGGAAACGUAAGCUCAGGUUUCUUGAGCCUAAGCUGAUGCUCAGAGUCACCUGGGACUUCUUGGCCGAUUUGAGAGUGCUUUAUGGAAACCUGUUUGAUGGGGAAAGAGAAGCCUCUAGAGAGAGAAUUUACCAGAAAGGGGAGGGGCCCAGGCAUGGACAGCUAGCUCUAACAUUGAUUCCAGGUACAGCCUGUUGACUCUGUCUUGUCACCUAUGCCCUACAGGAUGCAUGCCUGAGCCCUAUGGAGAACAGACGUACUGUUUGAAGUCUCUAGGAGGCAUUGGCACGUGCAGUCCUGUUUGGGUACCCCUCUAAUGAAACAUAGCACAAAGGAGCCAAGGGUAUUCUCUUCCUUUGGCAGCUGAAUGGGUACAGCUUCAGGAGAGUCUACCAAUUUUUAGCAAGGCCCAAGCCACCUAGAAUAAACUGUGUUUCCCGCCUCUCCUUGUACAUGACUAAGUUCCGACCAACAGGAUAUAAACAGAUAUGGUGGUGCUGCUGCUUCUGGGAAGAAUCCAGAAUCUUCUCCUUGUGUUUCCUUCUUGCUGGCUGGACUGUGGACACAAUGGCUAGAGCUGGAUUAGCCAUUUGGGACUGUUUGGUAGAAGCAUUAUGUUGAGGACGGAUAGCCACAAGUCAGACGGUGCCUGGGUUCUGAUGAUCGUGGAUUUGCCUCACUGGCUUUGAACUCCCUAUUUCUGCAUAGGAGGCUCAAAUAUAAGUUAUGCCAGAUGGAAAAGGAAUAAGGGUUUUAGGAUUCCUCUGUCUCAGACUUUGCAGAGUGGUCUACCUUGGAGGACAAGCACUAUUACAGUCACAACAAACUUUUUAGGGUGCAUGGUAGUAUCUCACUUCUCUGUGGCCUGGUGACUUGCUUUGUCCAAUGCAAUGUGGGGAGAAGUGAAGAAGUCAGAAACCUUUAAGAGCCUGUGUGUGACUCACCCUAUAUGUCCCUUCCCUCUGACCUGGCAACCAGAUGGUGGAGGCUGUGUCUGCCUGAGGCCCUGAGUGCGGAUAUGGAGCCCAGGCUCCUUGGAGAGAUGGCUGCUUCCAAGGCUGGGCUCUAGAAAGGAAAAGAUGAGACUAUAACAUCUUGUGCCAGAAAGCAAUGACGUGCUCAAAGAACGAUGAGGUCCUACAGAAAAGAUACUGAAGCCAGCUCAAAUGGGCUUCCACUGAGUGACCAGAUCAGGGACCUUUCGAACAUCAAAGUCCAUAAUGAGACCAACAGAAUCCACUAAAAUCUGGAAAACAAUUAGUCUAUAUGGAUACAAAUUAAGAACGUAACCAGUUGAAAGUUUGAUGGGGCACAGGAUAUUUACAAAGUCUUAAAGUCCCUCCCCACAUAGUGCUCCCUCAAUUAAUGAUAGUUACUACAACAAUGAACAAAUGCUUUUUAACUACAAAGGGGAAAAGUGUAACUUUGCGGUGGAGAAGCCUGGCAGACACCACCUUAAUCAAAUGAGCCAAGGGGAUGUAGUCAGAUACAGGAUGGUUUCCUGAAAGAGCAGUGCCUGAAUUUAAUUGUGAGAAAAUUUGAGACAAACUAAAACCAAGAGACAUUCUAUAAAAUAAAUGGCCCGUACUCUUCAAAAAUGUCAAGAUCAUAGUAGAAAAAAAAAGACUCAAUUUCCAGAUUGAUGGAGACUAGGGAGGCAUGAAACUAAACACAACAUGUGUUCCUGGAGUGAAUGUUGAGCACAGAAAGGUUAUUUUUUCUUUUGUUUUAAGGAUCAUCAGUGGAACAAUUGGAGACAUUUGAAUGAGGACUGCAGAUUAAGUAAAAGUGUUGUAUCAAUGUUCACUUCUUGACUUUGAUUUUGAUUUAUGGUUAUGCCAGGGAGGGAAUGUCCUUUGUUAGUAGGAAAUAGUAAGAUGUUCACAGGUGAUGGGGGCAUCGGGUCAGAAAUUUACUUUCAAGCAGUUCAGGAUAAAAAUUUCUUUGCAUUGUACUUGCAACAUUUAUGUAAGUUUAUGAUUAUGAUUGGGAGUUGUUGCACUCACUUUUUGUGACCAUCUCCCCCCAAUCUACCACCAUAUUGUGGCUAUUUUUUUCCAACCCACCACAAUGCCCAAAACAGAACUUUUAUUUCCAACUCUAGAUAUGUUCCCUCCGAUCUCAGUAAAUGGCCCCAAACAUCUACUUGCUUGCUUAAGGCAAAAGCCGAGGAGACAUCUUGAUUCUCUUAGUAAUCUUCCAUCCAACCCACCAGCACGUCCUGCCAAGCCUACACAACAGCUCUUGAGCCUGCCCACCCUCCAGUGCUGCUACUACCUCCCCCAGGUGAGCUGCCACCUCUGUGGGCCGUGAAGAAGUUCCUGGAGAGGUGCCAGGGAGUCAGUGACCUCUGUGUGUUCUGCAGCCACGUGUCUGGCAGUCGACCUGAGGUCAGGUUGGCCAGGAAGACGCUGACAGUCAGCUGGACUUGAGUGGCGCAGGGGGAAGACGUGCUGGAACCCACUGAGCACCUCUACAUUUCUGUCUCUGCAGGCGACUGCAAAAAGUCCUUUAGAGAGCAAUGGACACCAUGCCACUUCCACCUGCUAAUCACACUCGAAUUCUUCUUUUGGCCAAUGCUAACUGGAACCCCACCAAAAAAGGGGUUCUCUUAAGCACAGUUGCCAGGGAACAAGUUGACAAGCACAUUCCCAUCACACCAUUCCCCCGGCCAUUCAACGUAAAGGAACUGCUACGUGAUCGUAUCUAUCGCACCACUCGGGUCAGUGCUCCGUGGAGUUGCUGUGUUCUCGGUGGUUUGCUGUGGCAUUUCCCACUGGAGAGUCUGCCCAGGAGCACACAGAUGAUGCAUCUCCAGACCUAGAGCAGUGUCUGAGUCCGUUCUGGAUGCUAUAACAGAAAUAUCAUGGAUUGGGUGGCUUAUUAACAAGAGAAAUCUAUUUCCCACGGCAGGUGUCUGGUGCGGGCAGGCUUCCUGUCUCAUGGACGGCCUCCUUCUUGCUGUGGCUUCACGUGUGGCAGGGGCAGGGAGUUCUCUGGGGAGCUUCUUUUAUAGGGGCACCAAUUCCAUCCAUGAGGGCUGCACCCUCAUGACAUCAUUAACCUCCCGAAGGCCCCACCUCC